rnacentral:lncRNA from 1 species
GAAAUGACUCUUAAGAAAAAAAUGAGGGAGAUUUAUUAGAACCACAUGAGGUUUCCAGCAGGACUACACAUGACUCUGUUCAGUCCAGAGUUAUUCAUCUGGUGUUGCAGCAAGUGGGAUUUUCUGUAACAUGGUCUUCAGGCCCAUCUCCAACACAGGGAAAGCCUGCAACAUCUUGAAAUGCCUUUUGGAAGAAAAAACUUCACAGAACAUACAGCUGUUGCAUUGCACUUGUUUACUGAACUUCACAGGUCUUUUCCAAGACACGUAGACACUGCAGUCUGCCGCACACACUGGGCUUACGAUUACACUGUGCUGUCUCGUACGCUAGCGGCCCUCACUGAGAGCACGGUGCACACCUGAACGUGCUGCUGC